GUUGAAGUCCACAAGUCUUAAAGCUGCCAAAUUUGAAGACCUCUGCCCUAUACUAAUCCUCCCAGCCCACUAUUUUUCAUUGUAAAGAAAUUAAACAGUAUUUUUUGGCUACCGCACACGUCUACCACAUAUGGUAGUACGUUUCCUGGGCCUGUUUGCAUUUCCAGCAAUCCGGUGAUCUGUUUGGGAACAUUUUUGCUAAUCUCACUGGGGGAUCUUAAAGAACCUGUAAUAGUACUCCAUCCUCUAUUUUCUCUCUCAGUAACAACCUUGUGAAAUAGGUCUGAGAAUGAUUGGCUAAAAUCAUCCACCAAGCAUCCAUAGUUAAUCAGGUACAAUUGAAUCUGAGCCUCUGCAGUCCACGAAGUCCUCUGUUUCCUUCAUAGCCAACCUUUUCUAGUUGAGUGUAUUAUAAAGACGCAGUUUGUCUGGUGAUAUCAGGUAAGCAAAAACCAAAAGAGGUUUAAGCUUGGAAUGGGCACCUGGGCCUGGCAUAAAGAAGCAAAUAGUGUAAUCUGAAAUAUGUUGGAUAUUUAUGUUAAGUGA